rnacentral:rRNA from 1 species
UACGGGGGGGGGCAAGCGUUGUUCGGAAUUACUGGGCGUAAAGGGCUCGUAGGCGGCCAACUAAGUCAGACGUGAAAUCCCCAGGCUCAACUUGGGAACUGCAUCCGAUACUGGAUGGCUUGAAUUCGGGAGAGGGAUGCAGAAUUCCAGGUGUAGCGGUGAAAUGCGUAGAUAUCUGGAGGAAUACCGGUGGCGAAGGCGGCAUCCUGGACCGACAUUGACGCUGAGGAGCGAAAGCUAGGGGAGCAAACGGG